CUGCUAAAAUUGAGUGCGCAGAAGAAAUUCACGCUUGCGAAAACCUGAAAUUCACUCGAAUAGACGUUUCCUCGCAUGUGUGAGUUUUGGCACUAAACUGACGCCUAGUGUGUAGGUUUGGUCGCAUCAAUUAGUAGGAAUAUAGGACUCAUCGUUAUAUUUUCGUAAGUGUAUCAUUGUGUUUUCGUUCUACAUAGGAAACGGGUCGUCUGCAAUGAUUCUACAGUUGCCCAUAACAGACAAACCAAAACCCUAGCUCGGGAUGGGGCUUUUCGUGUUAUGGCGUUUGACGGUCACCAUAGGUCCGAAAGGAACUGGCUGCCGUACUGGUCCUCGAGUCUCAAGUCAGCAUUGGUACAGUCUUGAUAAAUCAGGGUGUCAAUGGGACAUCCACAUAUGUCAUCUGGAAGGGGUCUCUUGAUGAUAUCACCAACCGCAAGGUAAAUAUGUUUCCCAUCACCAGGGAAAUACUGGUGUCAACAAGCCGGGGAAAAGCUUGGAAGUCAUAGCAUUAGGGCCAUUUGGUGUUUUGGAUUUGGAGGUACAGGAAGUAACUGGAAGUUGGAGGUACUGGAGUAAACCACUGUGUAUGUUU
rnacentral:lncRNA from 1 species